rnacentral:rRNA from 1 species
AUACGGAGGGUGCAAGCGUUACUCGGAAUUACUGGGCGUAAAGGACGCGUAGGCGGUUUAGAAAGUCAGAUGUGAAAGCCUAUGGCUUAACCAUAGAACUGCAUCUGAAACUCCUAGACUAGAGUGAGGGAGAGGUCAGUGGAAUUAGUGGUGUAGGGGUAAAAUCCGUAGAGAUCACUAGGAAUACUCAUAGCGAAGGCGACUGACUGGAACUUUACUGACGCUCAGGCGUGAAAGCGUGGGGAGCAAACAGGAUUAGAAACCCUGGUAGUCC